GAUGAACGCUAGCGGCAGGCCUAAUACAUGCAAGUCGAACGGUAACAUGAGUAGCAAUACUUGAUGACGAGUGGCGCACGGGUGCGUAACGCGUAUGCAAUCUACCUUUAACUGGUGAAUAGCCCGAAGAAAUUCGGAUUAAUACACCAUAGUAUAUUUCUGUAGCAUUACUAGAAUAUUAAAGUCCCAACGGUUAAAGAUGAGCAUGCGUGACAUAGCUAGUUGGUGAGGUAAUGGCUCACCAAGGCUACGAUGUCUAGGGGAUCUGAGA
rnacentral:rRNA from 1 species